rnacentral:tRNA from 1 species
CCCCUGGAGGACUAGUGGUUAGGCCACAGCGCUCUCACUGCUGGGACCGGGUUCGAUUCCCAGCCAGGGGA